GAGUUUGAUCCUGGCUCAGAACGAACGCUGGCGGCGUGCUUAACACAUGCAAGUCGAACGUGAUUGAGAGCUUGCUCUCAUGAAAGUGGCGCACGGGUGAGUAACACGUGGAUAAUCUGCCUGGCGAUUCGGGAUAACACUUCGAAAGGGGUGCUAAUACCGGAUAAGCCCACGGACUCUUCGGAGUUUGCGGGAAAAGGGGGCCUCUGUAUAUGCUCCUGUCGCUAGAUGAGUCCGCGGCCCAUUAGCUAGUUGGUAGGGUAAUGGCCUACCAAGGCUACGAUGGGUAGCUGGUCUGAGAGGAUGAUCAGCCACACUGGAACUGARACACGGUCCAGACUCCUACGGGAGGCAGCAGUGGGGAAUUUUGCGCAAUGGGCGAAAGCCUGACGCAGCAACGCCGCGUGAGUGAUGAAGGCCUUCGGGUCGUAAAGCUCUGUCAGCGGGGAAGAACCGCCGGGUGGUUAAUACCUGCCUGGUCUGACGGUACCCACAAAGGAAGCACCGGCUAACUCCGUGCCAGCAGCCGCGGUAAUAC
rnacentral:rRNA from 1 species